rnacentral:rRNA from 1 species
AUUGAACGCUGGCGGCAGGCCUAACACAUGCAAGUCGAGCGGAUGAAGGGAGCUUGCUCCUGGAUUCAGCGGCGGACGGGUGAGUAAUGCCUAGGAAUCUGCCUGGUAGUGGGGGAUAACGUCCGGAAACGGGCGCUAAUACCGCAUACGUCCUGAGGGAGAAAGUGGGGGAUCUUCGGACCUCACGCUAUCAGAUGAGCCUAGGUCGGAUUAGCUAGUUGGUGGGGUAAAGGCCUACCAAGGCGACGAUCCGUAACUGGUCUGAGAGGAUGAUCAGUCACACUGGAACUGAAACACGGUCCAGACUCCUACGGGAGGCAGCAGUGGGGAAUAUUGGACAAUGGGCGGAAGCCUGGUCCAGCCAUGCCGCGUGUGUGAAGAAGGUCUUCGGAUUGUAAAGCACUUUAAGUGGGGAGGAAGGGCAGUAAGUUAAUACCUUGCUGUUUUGACGGUACCAACAGAAUAAGCACCGGCUAACUUCGUG